UAUACAACACAUUCAGUCAAAGCGGACCACGCGGGCUUCUGCCUGUCGGCUAGUGGCGAACGCCCCUUUAAGAAUCUCAACGUGCCCACUAGUGGGGGAUAGCUCGCCGAAAGCCGGAUUAAUACCGCAUACGACCUGAGGGUGAAAGCGGGGGAUCUUCGGACCUCGCGCUAUUGGAGCGGCCGAUGGCGGAUUAGCUAGUUGGUGGGGUAAAGGCCUACCAAGGCGACGAUCUGUAGCUGGUCUGAGAGGACGACCAACCACACUGGGACUGAGACACGCCCCAUACUCCUACAGAAGGCAGCAGUGGGGAAUUUUGGACAAUGGGCGAAAGCCUGAUCCAGCAAUGCCGCGUGUGUGAUGAAGGCCUUCGGGUUGUAAAGCACUUUUGGCGGGAACGAAAAGGACUGUGCCAAUACCACGGUUCGAUGACGGUACCCGCAGAAUAAGCACCGGCUAACUACAUGCCAGCAGCCGCGGUAAUACGUAGGGUGCAAGCGUUAAUCGAAAUUACUGGGCGUAAAGAGUGCGCAGGCGGUUUUGCAGGACCGAUGUGAAAUCCCCGGGCUUAACCUGGGAACUGCAUUGGUGACUGCAAGGCUAGAGUGUGUCAGAGGGAGGUGGAAUUCCGCAUGUAGCAGUCAAAUGCGUAGAUAUGCGUAGGAACACCGAUGGCGAAGGCAGCCUCCUGGGAUAACA
rnacentral:rRNA from 1 species